rnacentral:sRNA from 1 species
AUAUAUAUAUAUAGAAAAUUUGUUCAACUUAUCCUACUAUAUUAUUUGGGAAGUACAUUUUAAAUGUAACCUUAACUUUUAUAAGUAAUUACAUAGGUAUGCCAUUAGAAAUAAAAUUUUAAAGAGUAAAUUAAUUUAUCUCUUUAAGGAUUAAAAAGUCAAAUACUAAUUUAAUUAAUUAAAUUUAAUUAAAAAACGAAAUAUAUUAUUAUUUUCCAAAAAUAAUAACCAAUCAAAAUCAACAUAUAAGAUUUGAUAUCUAAAUUUUAAUUAAUUUAAUUUAAUUAGAAAAACGAAAUACAUUAUUAAUUUCCAAAAAAGUAACCAAUUAAAAUCAACAAAUUAGAUUUGAUAUCUAAAUUAUCAUAUUAAUUUUUUAUUAAUUAUUAUAGUUCACUUCUCAUCUUUAUAUGAUUCUAUUUUUGCCGAAAAAUAAUAUCAUCAUUAUAAAAAAAUAAUUAGAGUUUUUUCGCAUAUGCCAUAUUUUGAAUUUUUAAAAACGAAUAUAAACUAUUCAAUACAUGAAAAAAUAUUAUAACGGAAGAAAAAUAGAUUUAAGAAAACUUUCUACUGAGUAACGGAUCAUAAUUUGAAAUAUUUCUAUUCAAUUUCACACAUAUUAUAAUGAAAAUUUAUAAUCUUAUAUACUACAGUAAUUAAUAACAUAUUAGAUGUGAUUCAAUUUUUAAUACAAGCUGAAAAAUCCUAGAAUUGACGGGUUUAGAUCGAUAUUAAUACAAGAUGAUAUACUACAUGUGAAACUCUUAAAUUAACAAUCAAACUACAAGUGUAUAAUCUUAAACACUAAACAAUAUAGAUAAUAUCAACAAAAUAUAUACAACUCACAGAUUACUAUACAUUUAAAAUCAAAUAAAAUAAUAUCAUAUAUAUUUAAAUCAUCUUUACAAUAAAAGUUUUUAGUUUAACUAAAGUAUAAGCCUACCUGCGGUAUACUGCAGGUUAAUAACUAGAUUAUAGGGCUUAUUGGAUCUAAAGACGGGUCAUCAAAGAUUUCCUAAACUGAAGCAAAAUAUACUGAAUAUUCAAAUAUCUAUCUGUUACCAAAUUAUAAACAAAUAAGUUCGUAAAACAAUUUAAUAUUUUAUAUACGAAAUCAAUUAAAUCUUAAUCACAUAAAAAUUAGCACAAAAAAAAGUAUUCAAUAAUUAAAAAAUUAUCAAAUCUCUGUGUUAUAUAAGUUUUGAUACUAUAUUCGAAUAAAGUGUAAUAUACCUUUUCAAUUUGUAUUAUUUAACUAAUUUAAGCUAACUAAUAUAGUUGCUAAUCUUAUACCUAUCAAAACCGACUAUCGUUUCUUAUCUCUAUAGUAUUUUUGCAAGAUUUUUUUGGUGGAUUUGGAUAAAAGUGCAUUCGGGUCAUAUGGUACAGUCUCCUAUUAAAUAAAUAUGGUGCACUCAUUUGUUAUUAGCUAAAAUAUUUAGAUUAUAAUUCAGAGUCAUAUCAUUAAUAAAAUAAAUGGCUUUUUGGCAAGACGGAUUUGGAUGGACGGGUUUUUGAAUCAACAUUAAUAAAAAAGUAAAAUAUAAUUAAUCCACAAUUUCAAUACGGAUUAAAUCUUUAAUUUAUU